UUUAUUAAUUUCCAAAAGUUGAAAACAACAAAUAACUAUAUUAAUUUAGCUUUAAUAAUAAUAAUUUUACACCCAAUACCAACUAAUAUAACAAGCAGAGGUGACCGACCAACGUAGUGUAGCUAUUCAACCUAAACGGACACGACAGAAAGAGGAAUAAACAAAAAUAUUCUUCCUUCGUUUGUUAUGUUCGUUCACUGAUCUAACAAAGCUCAAACAACUAGUGCUGAUCAGAGAACAACGACAAAGCAAGCAGUGAUGUUAGUGGAUGAUCAAACAGUGUUGUUGUUGUUUGCGACAAACAAAACAGAAAAUGAAUUUGACUGUUGUUACAACGAGAAAAAGAGAAUAAAUGUAACAACAGCAAUAUGCAAUAUUAAAGCGGACAGACCAAACAAAAAGUAUAAUAUUGCAAUCUUUGCUUUAGGUAGUAAAGCACACCAAACUAAAAACUAACAACGACGACGUUUUUGUUGGUAUCAACGAAACGAGAUGUUUAAUGUUUUGUUGUUUUACAUGAACCAAAACAAAGAAAGUUAGCAAACGAUUUUUGCAACAAUUUUAUUUUCGAGUUUUGUUUUGAUUAUAAUGCUGCCGAAUGCAAUCAUCCACAUUAGAAGCCAACGAUUGGCGGGAAACAAAACAAAAGAAAGAUGUGACGUUGUAAAACAACCUUUGGACCUAAACAAAACCGAAUGUUUUGUUGGUGUCGCGGUAAUUUAAUUACGCGAGCUCACUUGAAAAACUGCACUAUACAUACCUUGUAAUGCAGGAGUAAUGGACUGUAUGUUGUGGUUUCCAAAAGCGUCCAAGAGGGCUGGAAUAUCCGGUUCGAUUGGACCAAUGUUUAGCUCAGAGGGGCUCCGCCAAUGGGAAUAAAACGCAGAAUGCGUCGAGCAGUGGACCGUAGGGGGGAAAUAUAAAAAGAAAUAAAACAAGAGUUUUUCUUAAUAUAUACAACUAUUUAUUCUUAGUUUAGUAAGAGGUAACGUUAUUACCUGUGGCAACAAUAUGCCUUUCUACGCACAACGAUAUGUACUUUGCAAACGAUAUUGCUGGUGUUGUCUGUCCGAAUGACAGCGAAAAACUACUUGAUGUCAAAAGGAGGCGGCAAAACAAGUGACAACUAAUUACUCGUUAAAAUGUCAAAGACGCUAGCACAAGGUUGCAAUAAACCGUAGCGCGUACAUUUUAACGAAUAAUUAAGGACCAAACCAGGGGUCAAUACAAAGCAAUAUUUAAUGCAAUUCUAAAUUAAACAUUACGUGUCGAUUUCAAUUAUUAUAAUCUCAAACAUUUUCGUGUGCCAACGCACAAGACACUGAAUUGUUCGCAUGUAAUAUUUUACGUCGGCUGAGAAACAUGUAAUUAUAGAAUAUUUAUUUUUAUACUCUCCACGCUAUCUUUCGAAUGAAUUGAUAUAGAAGGCUAAAAUGCACACAUGUUUAUUUUUCCAGUAGGCAGUUUAAGUUCGUAAAUGGGCCAUGUAGGUCCAAGUUUUCAUAUAGCCUCCAUAUAACGGUACCUCCCGAUAUUCGGUAUUUUGAUGAUUUUAGCGACAUUAUUCACCGGAAUUGUUUCAAAUUUGGUAGUUGAAGUUCGAAAUGGAUACUACAGCCUAAGACAGAAAACUGUCUGGGCAGGUCCACGUCUCCGUAUAGCCCCCAUAUAACGGUACCGCCCAAUAUUCGUUAUUUUAUUGAUUUUAGCUAAUUUAUUCACCAGAAUUUUUCAAAUUACGUAUUUAGAGUUCGUUAUGGGAACUGCAGUCUAACAGAAAAUUGUCUAUGUUAGUCCAGGUCUUCGUAUAGGCCCUAUGACCAUUGAUAUGUCAAAAUUUUUAAAAUAGUUUAUCAAAAAUAAGUAUAUUUGUAAAUGUUUUCUUAUACGACGCAAGUCGGUGGUUGUUAUAAUAUGAAUUUUUCAAAAAUUUUUACAAAUUUCAAUAAGUUUUCAUUCAACAUUUUCAAUUCCAAAAUCGGUUUGACAGUUCAUUGUCCCAGCAGCUGUGUCGAUGCGACUACCUGUAUUCUUCUACCAUGGUUUGUACUAUGAUUUAUACGUUACGUUACUCGUCGCACUAACUACAAACCAUUUUUUCACCAUACCAGCUGCUUAAUAGUCGAUCAAUGGUGGUUAACAGGCCGAUCAUACAUAACAAUGGAACAAAUAAAAGUUUAUCAACAGAGUAGCUUUAGUAGCCGAAAGUAUUUGUUUUACAAAGACGAAGAACAAUAAAUUUAAAUAUUAGACAAUAUAAUAAGUAUACAGCUAUAUUAUUGAAAAAUUAAAUCAUUCUCCUCGUAUUGAUGAUAUGACAGAUGACGAAGUUUUCUAUGGGUUAAGAACACUACGCUCCUCAUUCUCUCCAGGCCCUGACGGCGUUCCAACGUAAACGUGAAAUUUCUGUACCUCUCACUAAAAUUUGUAAUUUCUCCCUAUCUAAAGCAGGCCAUCUACAGACGAAUCUGUUCGACGAACAAAAAUUUCAUUUGCCACAAACGAGUGCGAACAUGCUCACGAACAUCAUUUGUAAACAAUUUUCAUCGAGUAAACAUGUCAUCAGACAGCGACCGCGACACAGUCAUUGCCUUGAUGACAAUACAUGUUUGUUUGGAGGAAAAAAAAUAAGGGGAGUUAAAAAAAGAAAGCACAGCAUAUGGAUGAAAGAAUGGUAUGCAAAGCGCCAAAAGUUCACACAUACAAAACUCUUAAAGGAUCUGAAAGAAAGUUCUCGGGUGGAUUUAAAGAAUUUUCUUAGAAUCGACGCUGAAACAUAUGCAGCUCUAUUAAAUUUGGUAGCUCCAGAAAUUCAUCGACAGGAUACUACAAUGAGAGAAGCAAUGAGUGCAAAUGAAAGGCUUUCAGCGACUUUGCGCUUUUUGGCAAGUUUCCAAAGCUACGAAGAUUUAAAAUUUUUAACUGGAAUUUCUCCCCAGAGUCUUGGACGCGUAGUUUUCGAGACAUGUGGCGUAAUAAUUAAAAUGCUUAAGCCGUAUAUAAAAGUAAGAAUAAAAAUGUUUUAUUUUAAGCCGUAUAUAAAUAUUAAGAGUAAGAAUAUAAAAGUAAGAAUAAAAAUGUUUUAUUUUAAUAAUUUCAUUUAAGUCUAAUAUUAAUUUUAAUCUUUAUACAUAUUCAUCGCUGUUGAAUAAAUCAUUAUACGAAGAUGCUGCCACGUUGUUAUUUUGCGUGACCAAUA